GAUAAAGGUUUCUCAUGUAAUAGCACCCUAAAAGCUUGUUGUAAUUGAUCCAAGUGGGAAGACAUGGUAUUACUAUAGAUGAGGAUGUCAUCAAAGUAAACCACUAAGAACUUGCCAAUGAAUGGUUGAAGCACUUGAUUCAUAAUCCUCAUGAAAGUGCUCGGUGCAUUGGAUAAGCCAAAGGGCAUAACUAA